UACGUAGGGUGCAAGCGUUGUCCGGAAUUAUUGGGCGUAAAGAGCUCGUAGGCGGUCUGUUGCGUCGGCUGUGAAAACCCGGGGCUCAACCCCGGGCCUGCAGCCGAUACGGGCAGACUAGAGUUCGGCAGGGGAGACUGGAAUUCCUGGUGUAGCGGUGAAAUGCGCAGAUAUCAGGAGGAACACCGGUGGCGAAGGCGGGUCUCUGGGCCGAUACCGACGCUGAGGAGCGAAAGCGUGGGGAGCGAACAGG
rnacentral:rRNA from 1 species